CAGAGUAGAAAUUUGCGCGUGAAGUGUCCGGCGAACGGGGAGUUGUCGGCGGAACGAAAAGUCGUAAGGCUUGCGGUGCAUUUUUCGCAUCCCGCUG
rnacentral:ncRNA from 1 species